AGCGAACGCUGGCGGCAGGCCUAACACAUGCAAGUCGAACGAAGUCUUCGGACUUAGUGGCGGACGGGUGAGUAACACGUGGGAACGUGCCCUUUGGUACGGAAUAACUCAGGGAAACUUGAGCUAAUACCGUAUGUGCCCUUCGGGGGAAAGAUUUAUGUCCAUUGGAGCGGCCCGCGUCUGAUUAGCUAGUUGGUGAGGUAAAGGCUAACCAAGGCGACGAUCAGUAGCUGGUCUGAGAGGAUGAUCAGCCACAUUGGGACUGAGACACGGCCCAAACUCCUACGGGAGGCAGCUGUGGGGAAUCUUGCGCAAUGGGCGAAAGCCUGACGCAGCCAUGCCGCGUGAAUGAUGAAGGUCUUAGGAUUGUAAAAUUCUUUCACCGGGGACGAUAAUGACGGUACCCGGAGAAGAAGCCCCGGCUAACUUCGUGCCAGCCGCCGCAGUAACAC
rnacentral:rRNA from 1 species